UGGCUCAGAAUGAACGCUGGCGGCAGGCCUAACACAUGCAAGUCGAACGCCCCGCAAGGGGAGUGGCGCACGGGUGAGUAACGCGUGGGAAUAUGCCCUUCGGUUCGGAAUAACACAGGGAAACUUGUGCUAAUACCGGAUACGAUCUACGGAUGAAAGAUUUAUCGCCGAAGGAGUAGCCCGCGUCAGAUUAGCUAGUUGGUGAGGUAAUGGCUCACCAAGGCGACGAUCUGUAGCUGGUCUGAGAGGAUGAUCAGCCACACUGGGACUGAGACACGGCCCAGACUCCUACGGGAGGCAGCAGUGGGGAAUAUUGGACAAUGGGGGAAACCCUGAUCCAGCCAUGCCGCGUGAGUGAUGAAGGCCUUAGGGUUGUAAAGCUCUUUCGCCGGGGAAGAUAAUGACGGUACCCGGAAAAGAAGC
rnacentral:rRNA from 1 species